GUGCCUGUAGUUCAGGGGUAGAGCACCAGAUUGUGGAUCUGGUUGUCGUGGGUUCGAAACCCACCAGGCACCCCU
rnacentral:tRNA from 1 species